AUGUCGUGAUGGGGGCAUUCUCUUUGGUAUUCCUUGAACCGAUCCCUAGCCUCAAACAAUGACUCAUCUCGUUUUUGCUCAAAUGAUUGCAUUUUGUGCCU
rnacentral:snoRNA from 1 species